AUUGAACGCUGGCGGCAUGCUUUACACAUGCAAGUCGAACGGUAACAGGUUAAGCUGACGAGUGGCGAACGGGUGAGUAAUGCAUCGGAACGUGCCCGAUCGUGGGGGAUAACGCAGCGAAAGCUGCGCUAAUACCGCAUACGAUCUGAGGAUGAAAGCGGGGGACCGUAAGGCCUCGCGCGAUCGGAGCGGCCGAUGUCAGAUUAGGUAGUUGGUGGGGUAAAGGCUCACCAAGCCAACGAUCUGUAGCUGGUCUGAGAGGACGACCAGCCACACUGGGACUGAGACACGGCCCAGACUCCUACGGGAGGCAGCAGUGGGGAAUUUUGGACAAUGGGCGAAAGCCUGAUCCAGCAAUGCCGCGUGCAGGAAGAAGGCCUUCGGGUUGUAAACUGCUUUUGUACGGAACGAAAAGGACGGCCCUAAUACGGUGGUCCCAUGACGGUACCGUAAGAAUAAGCACCGGCUAACUACGUGCCAGCAGCCGCCGUAA
rnacentral:rRNA from 1 species